ACCGCGGUAAGUCUAUAAGACUUACUGUAUUGUCCAUACAGCUUUGCUUCUACAGCCCAUUUUGC
rnacentral:tRNA from 4 species